rnacentral:rRNA from 1 species
AUGGCAUGUACCACAGGUGAACCGACCUCUCUGCAAGAAGCAUUUGGUGAUUUGAAGUGGAAAAGGGUUAUGGAAGAAGAAUACAUGGCUCUUCAGAAGAACAAAACAUGGCAUCUGGUUCCCCCAAAGCAAGGUAAAAAUUUGAUAGAUUGCAAAUGGGUAUUCAGAAUCAAGAGGAAAUCUGAUGGAACAAUAGAUCGCUAUAAAGCUAGACUGGUUGCAAAAGGCUUUAAACAAAGGUAUGGCAUAGACUAUGAGGAUACCUUUAGUCCAGUUGUAAAGAUUGCUACCAUUCGUCUUGUUCUGUCUAUUGCUGUUUCAAGGGGAUGGAGUCUGAGGCAACUAGAUGUACAGAACGCGUUUCUUCAUGGCGUUCUGGAAGAAGAGGUUUACAUGAAACAGCCUCCUGGGUUUGAAAACAGAAAAUUCCCAUCUUAUGUCUGCAAGCUUGAUAAGGCCAUCUAUGGGUUGAAGCAAGCCCCUAGAGCAUGGUAUUCCAGACUCAGUCACAAGCUACAAGCUCUUGGUUUCAUUCCUUCAAAGUCUGACACUUCCUUGUUUAUAUACAAUAAGUCAAAUACAUCUAUAUUUGUACUUAUUUAUGUGGAUGAUAUAAUUGUUACAAGCUCAUCUGAUCAGGCAGUGAUAGGACUAUUAAAGAAUUUGAGUGCUGAGUUUGCUUUAAAGGAUCUUGGAGACUUGCACUUCUUCUUAGGGAUCGAAGUAAAGAGACAUGGUAAUGAUCUUCAUCUCUCUCAAGAAAAGUAUGCUACUGAUUUGGUCAAACGAGUAGGGUUGCAAGGUUGUAAACCAUCACCUACUCCUCUAUCUAGUUCAGAAAAAUUGUCACUUAUAGAAGGAGAUCCCUUGAAUCAAGAUGAUAGCACAAACUACAGAAGUUUGGUAGGUGCACUUCAAUAUUUGACGCUUACAAGACCAGAUAUUUCAUUUGCUGUUAAUAAAGUAUGCCAGUUUCUUCAUGCUCCUACAACAGUUCAUUGGACUGGAGCUAAACGUAUAGUCAGAUAUAUCAAAAACACUUUGAACACUGGUCUUACCUUCAGCAAGUCUCCAACAACUGUGGUUAGUGCUUUUUCUGAUUCUGACUGGGCAGGAUGUCUGGAUGAUAGACGGUCUACAGGUGGAUUUGCAAUCUUCUUUGGACCCAAUCUCAUAUCUUGGUGUGCCAAGAAACAAGCCACAGUAUCCAGAUCCAGUACAGAAGCAGAGUAUAAAGCAUUAGCAAAUGCAACUGCAGAAAUUAUAUGGGUUCAGUCUUUGCUCAAAGAGCUUGGUAUAAGACGAAUCCCAGCACCAUGCUUGUGGUGUGACAAUCUUGGUGCCACAUAUCUUUCUGCAAAUCCAGUCUUUCAUGCUAGAACAAAACAUAUUGAGAUUGAUUUCCAUUUUGUCAGAGAACGGGUUGCUAACAAACAGUUGGAAAUCAGGUAUAUUCAUUCAAGAGAUCAGCUUGCAGAUGGCUUUACCAAGGCGUUACCUACACGGAGCUUUGAAGAGUUUAAGCGUAAUCUCAAUUUGUCAGAGUUGUGA